rnacentral:rRNA from 1 species
GUUGGGUAACACUAACUGGAGGACCGAACCGACUAAUGUUGAAAAAUUAGCGGAUGACCUGUGGCUGGGGGUGAAAGGCCAAUCAAACCGGGAGAUAGCUGGUUCUCCCCGAAAGCUAUUUAGGUAGCGCCUCGUGAAUUCAUCUCCGGGGGUAGAGCACUGUUUCGGCUAGGGGGCCAUCCCGGCUUACCAACCCGAUGCAAACUGCGAAUACCGGAGAAUGUUAUCACGGGAGACACACGGCGGGUGCUAACGUCCGUCGUGAAGAGGGAAACAACCCAGACCGCCAGCUAAGGUCCCAAAGUCAUGGUUAAGUGGGAAACGAUGUGGGAAGGCCCAGACAGCCAGGAUGUUGGCUUAGAAGCAGCCAUCAUUUAAAGAAAGCGUAAUAGCUCACUGGUCGAGUCGGCCUGCGCGGAAGAUGUAACGGGGCUAAACCAUGCACCGAAGCUGCGGCAGCGACACUGUGUGUUGUUGGGUAGGGGAGCGUUCUGUAAGCCUGUGAAGGUGUGUCGUGAGGCAUGCUGGAGGUAUCAGAAGUGCGAAUGCUGACAUAAGUAACGAUAAAGCGGGUGAAAAGCCCGCUCGCCGGAAGACCAAGGGUUCCUGUCCAACGUUAAUCGGGGCAGGGUGAGUCGACCCCUAAGGCGAGGCCGAAAGGCGUAGUCGAUGGGAAACGGGUUAAUAUUCCCGUACUUGGUGUUACUGCGAAGGGGGGACGGAGAAGGCUAUGUUGGCCGGGCGACGGUUGUCCCGGUUUAAGCGUGUAGGUGUGUGUUCCAGGUAAAUCCGGUUCACUUUAACACUGAGGCGUGACGACGAGGCACUACGGUGCUGAAGCAACAAAUGCCCUGCUUCCAGGAAAAGCCUCUAAGCAUCAGGUAACAUCAAAUCGUACCCCAAACCGACACAGGUGGUCAGGUAGAGAAUACCAAGGCGCUUGAGAGAACUCGGGUGAAGGAACUAGGCAAAAUGGUGCCGUAACUUCGGGAGAAGGCACGCUGACACGUAGGUGAAGUGAUUUACUCAUGGAGCUGAAGUCAGUCGAAGAUACCAGCUGGCUGCAACUGUUUAUUAAAAACACAGCACUGUGCAAACACGAAAGUGGACGUAUACGGUGUGACGCCUGCCCGGUGCCGGAAGGUUAAUUGAUGGGGUCAGCGCAAGCGAAGCUCCUGAUCGAAGCCCCGGUAAACGGCGGCCGUAACUAUAACGGUCCUAAGGUAGCGAAAUUCCUUGUCGGGUAAGUUCCGACCUGCACGAAUGGCGUAAUGAUGGCCAGGCUGUCUCCACCCGAGACUCAGUGAAAUUGAACUCGCUGUGAAGAUGCAGUGUACCCGCGGCAAGACGGAAAGACCCCGUGAACCUUUACUAUAGCUUGACACUGAACAUUGAGCCUUGAUGUGUAGGAUAGGUGGGAGGCUUUGAAGUGUGGACGCCAGUCUGCAUGGAGCCGACCUUGAAAUACCACCCUUUAAUGUUUGAUGUUCUAACGUGGACCCGUUACCCGGGUUGCGGACAGUGUCUGGUGGGUAGUUUGACUGGGGCGGUCUCCUCCUAAAGAGUAACGGAGGAGCACGAAGGUUGGCUAAUCCUGGUCGGACAUCAGGAGGUUAGUGCAAUGGCAUAAGCCAGCUUGACUGCGAGCGUGACGGCGCGAGCAGGUGCGAAAGCAGGUCAUAGUGAUCCGGUGGUUCUGAAUGGAAGGGCCAUCGCUCAACGGAUAAAAGGUACUCCGGGGAUAACAGGCUGAUACCGCCCAAGAGUUCAUAUCGACGGCGGUGUUUGGCACCUCGAUGUCGGCUCAUCACAUCCUGGGGCUGAAGUAGGUCCCAAGGGUAUGGCUGUUCGCCAUUUAAAGUGGUACGCGAGCUGGGUUUAGAACGUCGUGAGACAGUUCGGUCCCUAUCUGCCGUGGGCGCUGGAGAACUGAGGGGGGCUGCUCCUAGUACGAGAGGACCGGAGUGGACGCAUCACUGGUGUUCGGGUUGUCAUGCCAAUGGCACUGCCCGGUAGCUAAAUGCGGAAGAGAUAAGUGCUGAAAGCAUCUAAGCACGAAACUUGCCCCGAGAUGAGUUCUCCCUGAGACUUAGAGUCUCCUGAAGGAACGUUGAAGACGACGACGUUGAUAGGCCGGGUGUGUAAGCGCAGCGAUGCGUUGAGCUAACCGGUACUAAUGAACCGUGAGGCUUAACCUUACAACGCCG